UUGCCUAACUGGCAUGUACACUCUUUCUCUAUCGGAGCCGUCGCUGCACCUUGUGGAUUGGCGCUAGCCUGGCCCACAUGGCCCUACCCGGAUUCGGCUAUUUCAGUUUUCUGAGCGCCAUACGAAGUGAAUACACGUCCUAUCGUAUCUGGCGUCCUACCUACGCUCGCGCGGUCGCGCCUAGCGCACUCGCCUACCUCCCCGUCCACUACCCCGUGACCAGGCUGCCCCAUCCAUCCAAGCCGGAUGCAAUUCAAAAUUCGACGCAGCUGCAGCUGCAUCGACCGGCGGAACCACGUCCUCCCCAUCGCCGCGCCUGGAUCUCAAGAUUUCUUCAUGAUUCACCAAUGAAUCUCGGUGGGGAGUCAGAGUCAUUCACGGAUCUCCUGUUCAGAUCUGGCAUUGCUAGAGGAAGGGGAGGAGGACGACGAUUGUGGGGGUGGAGGGACAUAUGGCGUUACCGAUUCUCCUUCCUCAAGUUCUGCAUCUCAAGUUCAUGUCCCAGAUUUUGACAACACCGACAGUCACAGAGAACCCCCAUCUGAAUCGCAGCGCACUCCAACUCCGUGGCCUCAAAGGCAUUUAUACUGUCAAUAUUGGCAUCGGCAUGUGCAUUAAGACAUUUUUAUGAGCAGCAUACCUAUUGAUGCUACAUGGUUUAAUUAUUUUGGAGAAUUGGUUGUUACAUAUAUCUACCCAUACGCUGCAUCGAGCGGACGAACCACACCCUCCCCAUCCACGCGCCUGGUUCCCUAGGUUGCUUCACGAUUCAACGAUGAAUCUCGGUGACGAGUCAUUCACGGAUCUCCUCUUCAGCCGGCCGCAACAGAGGGCGUCCCAGAUCUGGGAUUGCUAGAGGAGGAGGAGGAGGGCGAAGAGCGCAUCCAUCCUAAUUUCCAGAACCAAUCUCCUUCUUCAAGCCAAGAUAGAGAGAAAUAUGGUGCCACAGAUUCAGGAACCCCUGAAGAUCAGGAGGCUAUGCCAGAUUUCUCCAAUGUCCCAGAUAUUGACGACGCCGAAGAGGCCCAGCCUGAAUCGCAUCCCAUUCCAGUUCCGUGGAGUCAAAGAUUCAGUACCGGAUGGUAAUGAAUAAAGGCGAAUAACUUCAAGACUGGAUUCCCGUGUUGUUUUCUUGAUUGGAGGUGAUUUUUUUGUGUACAUGGACUGAAUAUAUCGGCAAGCAUCACAAGGGAUGGAUCUGAUGACGACAUCAGCAGCCUUGCAGAUUCUCUGCUAGACCAUUAGCUGUCUUUUUUUCCCUCUUAUUGCAAUGGACUCAAUGCCAUGCAGUUUAUACAUAUUUGUAUGGAUUUUUUAAGUUGUGGAGCUAGCUGGGAUCAAUUUGUGUCCACACAAAAAAAUCACAGACUUUCUUACACUUAGCCCGCAAUUAAUGUAUGGUGAUGUGUGUGCUA